AUGAAAAAAAAAACUGGGUUUUCAUGUCCAAUUUUAACUGUCGGUCUUAUAUAAAAUUUAAAAUUUCUAUAAUUCAUAUUUUUAUUGUUAUUAGAUGAUAAAACAUGAUUAAUAUUUUAUAUGUGACUUGUCUUUUUAUUUUUUUCAUAAUUUUUUCAAAUAAGACGGACUAAGACAGACGGUCAAACGUUAAGCACGAAAACAAGGUUGUCUUUUUU
rnacentral:pre_miRNA from 1 species